rnacentral:tRNA from 1 species
GCCCCCGUAGCUCAAUGGACAGAGCAGCGGCCUUCUAAGCCGUUGGUUGUGGGUUCGAGUCCCGCCGGGGGCGCCA